UGGGGAAUAUUGCACAAUGGGCGCAAGCCUGAUGCAGCCAUGCCGCGUGUAUGAAGAAGGCCUUCGGGUUGUAAAGUACUUUCAGCGAGGCGGAAGGCGUUGUGGUUAAUAACCGCAACGAUUGACGUUACUCGCAGAAGAAGCACCGGCUAACUCCGUGCCAGCAGCCGCGGUAAUACGGAGGGUGCAAGCGGUAAUCGGAAUUACUGGGCGUAAAGCGCACGCAGGCGGUCUGUCAAGUCGGAUGUGAAAUCCCCGGGCUCAACCUGGGAACUGCAUCCGAAACUGGCAGGCUAGAGUCUUGUAGAGGGGGGUAGAAUUCCAGGUGUAGCGGUGAAAUGCGUAGAGAUCUGGAGGAAUACCGGUGGCGAAGGCGGCCCCCUGGACAAAGACUGACGCUCAGGUGCGAAAGCGUGGGGAGCAAACA
rnacentral:rRNA from 1 species